CAUGUAAGUCUUGGUGCAAGGUCCAUUGAAGCGAAGCAGAAUAUUCUAGCUGAUUUCAGUGACCCAACCAUCCCUUGACAUUCACAUGUGCUAAAGAUGACCUUUUUUGCUGAAGUGACUUCAGGUAGCAGUGAUUCUUUGGUCUGGACUCAGUAAUUCUGUGAUUCAACCAAAAGGCUGUAAUCGUAUGACAGAUUAGAAGAGUGUUAUGAGGUACCCCAGCAUCUAGAGAAAGAGCACUCCACUACUGAACUUGAAAAAAACAUCCCCUCCUUCUGAGAAAGUACCACCUGAGACUGUUUGCCUGCACAGCGCCUGUCCAUCUUGCUUGACAGUUUCCAG